rnacentral:rRNA from 1 species
UACGUAGGGGGCAAGCGUUAUCCGGAUUUACUGGGUGUAAAGGGAGCGUAGACGGCGAUGCAAGCCAGAUGUGAAAGCCCGGGGCUCAACCCCGGGACUGCAUUUGGAACUGCGUGGCUGGAGUGUCGGAGAGGCAGGCGGAAUUCCUAGUGUAGCGGUGAAAUGCGUAGAUAUUAGGAGGAACACCAGUGGCGAAGGCGGCCUGCUGGACGAUGACUGACGUUGAGGCUCGAAAGCGUGGGGAGCAAACAGGAUUAGAUACCCUGGUAGUCCACGCCGUAAACGAUGACUACUAGGUGUCGGGUGGCAAGGCCAUUCGGUGCCGCAGCAAACGCAAUAAGUAGUCCACCUGGGGAGUACGUUCGCAAGAAUGAA